UGGGGAAUCUUGCACAAUGGGGGCAACCCUGAUGCAGCGACGCCGCGUGAGCGAUGAAGCCCUUCGGGGCGUAAAGCUCUUUCGACCGGAACGAUAAUGACGGUACCGGGAGAAGAAGCUGCGGCUAACUACGUGCCAGCAGCCGCGGUAAUACGUAGGGGGCAAGCGUUGUCCGGAUUUACUGGGUGUAAAGGGCGCGCAGGCGGGAUAAAAAGUCAGUGGUGAAAUCCUACAGCUUAACUGUAGAACUGCCUUUGAUACUUUUAUUCUUGAGUUCGGGAGAGAGAGACGGAAUUCCAGGUGUAGUGGUGAAAUACGUAGAUAUCUGGAAGAACACCAGUUGCGAAGGCGGUCUCUUGGUCCGACACUGACGCUGAGGCGCGAAAGCGUGGGGAGCAAACA
rnacentral:rRNA from 1 species